GCCAAGCACAUGUUUGAGUUG
rnacentral:siRNA from 1 species